GAUUGCUUGUCAGAACAUUACGGAGCCGGAAUUACAAGCACGGCUCAAGAAUAUAUGAGAACCUCUGCCUCUUUCUACAUCAGUGUUGCCAGCGUUUGUGAGGACCACUGGAGUUAUACAGAUUUUAAUCUCAUAGCUUUAAAAAUGGAGUAAACUAAUGUCAUGUAGUUUAAACUAAUGUUUGUAUGUAUGUGUAGUCAACAUCCCUAACUGCAUAAUUAUUAUGGUGAUCAACUCUGGUCCUGGAUUGACUUUCCAUGUCCAGUGCAUUUUAAAGUUAGCCUGCUCUAAAACUCAGUAGGAGUUUUGCUAACCUGAACAAUCAGACCAGAUGUCUUAGGAGCAGGAAAAUACUCCAAUUAUGCUACAGUUAUAAAUCCAAUAAUUUGUAUUUGUGUGAGUUUUACUGUGUCAUAUCGGAAGCUACAUAAAAACACAAUUUUUUACAAAGACCUCAAAUGUUUCUUCAGAGUCUGUAGUUUUUGGCCUUAACCCAGUUAUUGAGACUAUCAAGUCACCAGAGUACAUAUAUUGUGAAACAGUGAAAGAAAAGCCUCAAGCAUGAACAGAAAGGCUCAACUGUUAAAACUGGCAAGAAUUGGACAUGAUCAGAUUGGUUCAGAUGUGAAAGUUUUGGAAUGGGAGAACUGAAUCAGAACAUAAAGUACAGGUCUGUUCUUCAUCAUUUGAAGGAACCCAUUAAACAAUUUUUGAGCAAAAUGUCUAGUUAAAAACUAGUCUAGAUUUGGAUUUAUCUACAAAGACCUAGACAAGGAGCACAUCUUCAGCUUUAGCUACACCUUUAAGGUUGAAAAUGUUUUUUUUUCCAUCUGCUGACUUUCUAGUCACUUCAUUUGUCAGCAUUAUUGGAGAAACACACACGUUUGUAAGUAAUGUAAUUAAAGCAUAGCCUGAGUUUUAAAAAGAGCUUCUCCUCCUACUCUGAACAACUCUGUCUUUUCAUUCCUUUGGAAAAUGUAUGAGGGCAAGCUCUUCACUCAAUAAUUGUUGUUGUGUCUGCACUUACAUCUAUAUUAACUGUCUUUGUAUUACUUGUUAGUUCUCUGGGCAUUAUUC